GCCUUGCCCACCUCCCCGGCCGUGGAGGAAGCUCGGCCGCCCGCCGUCGCUUAGCUGCGGGCCCUCCUCGCGUAUACUCCGCGUGAUUAGUGACCGAGGGCGCGCGGUGUGUGCUUUUUUUGCUUCCGUCUUGACCGUGAACAUCAUCAGAUCACGGACCAAUAUUGGGUCCUGGAAAAAAAAAGUAGUGGGUGGUGACUAUAAAAAUGCAAUAGGCUGGGCGCGGUGGCUCACGCCUGUAAUCCCAACACUUUGGGAGGCGGAGGCGGGCGGAUCACUUGAGGUGAGGAGUUCAAGACCAGCCUGGGCAAAAUGGUGAAACCCUGUCUCUACUCUAAAAAUACAAAAAAACUAGCCGGGCGUGGUGACAGACACGUGUAAUCCCCAGCUACUCGGGAGUCUGAGGCAGGAGAAUCGCUUGAGCCUGAGACGUGAAGAUUGCAGUCAGCAGAGAUCUCACCACUGCAUUCCAGCCUGGGCGACAGAGCUAGACCCCGUCUCAAGAAAAAUAAUAAUAAAAAUGAAAUAGAAUAAGCUAGAAGAUAUCAGAUGGCGUGGUGGGUGGCUCAUGCCUGUAAUCUCAGCACUCUGGGAGGCCGAAGCGGGAAGAUCACUGGAGGCCAGGAGUUUGAGAUCAGCCUGGGCGACAUAUGGAGACCCCAUCUCUACAAAAAAAAAAAAAACUUUAAAAAAAAUUGGGCGAGUGUGGGGGCACAUACUUGUAGUUCCAGCUCCUGGGGAGGUGGAGGCAGAGGCGGGAGGAUCACUUGAGCCCAGGAGUUGGAGGCUGCAAUGAGCUGUGAUUGGACUACUGCACGCAGGGGUGGCAGCAAGACCCUAUUUCUAAAGGAAAAAAAGAAAAUAAUAGUAUCUCGCAUGGUGAAAGUAAGUAUUAUUUUGUGAAAUAUUUAAUUCACCUGUUUGUGUAAGUGUGGACUUGGUAAGGACCUAGAAUGUGUUUCUGACUAUAAUAAGAAGAUCUUACCUGCCCUGCAGGGUAGACGCUGUGACUCCCCAUUUGACAGAAGGGGAAACAGAGGCCCAGCACGGGGGAGUCACGCAGAGAAGUUGCAGUCUGGCCUGGUGGCAUCCUCCACAGGCUUGGGGCCGCAUCACACUGUCUCUUGUCUCUUCACAAAGGUGAAGCCAACCUGCUCCCACCAGAGCCCGGCAAUGGCCAGUAAGAGAACAGUGAUGAGUUUAAGGAAGGGGACACAGGAAGCAGAAGAGAAGAGGGAAAAUUCAGUUUCAUCUGCCAAGAUUGACCUGUACAUUCUAGAAUUGCUUCUUGGCUCCUGGAACAUCAUAUGCAGGAAGAGAACAGAGACAGCAAAGCCAUGGAGUCAGCCCAGCUCAGGGAGGAGAGGUCUCCAGCGACUGGGGCAUCUGGCCCUGGGAAGCGCGACCCAGACUCUCAGCUUCUCAACACAGCACAUCCUUCCCCACUUGGAUAUACAGGGUGCACCUGUCAGGAGGAGGUGCCAACCAGGUCUCCUGAGUGAGCUGGCCUGGUGAUCCCAUGUGGAGUCAAAGUCCUUCUGUCCCCCCACCCCACCCCAUUUUCCAAGUCUGAACAGCCCACCUGCCUGGUAAUCACCAGGCUUUAGACCAGCGAGCCCAAGGAUUUGGAGGAAUGAGCUGGGGCUUCUGGGAAACCCUGGGCCACUUGGACUGCCUGCCUCAGUUUCUUCAUUUGCCUGUCCAUCUCACUGGUGUGCUUGAGGACCCCGGAAGAUCAUGCCUGUGAAGGGCUUUGAGAGUAACCAGGGGCUAUUCUGGAGGAACGUGUAGGAACUGGGUGUGCUGAGGGCACUGGGAGGGCCAUAGGGACAGCUGGAGAGGUUUCUGCUGCAGCCACAAGCCACUCAUUACGUGCUUGCUCUGUGUAUGUAGGAGCAUGCCGUGGUCCCCAGUGACAGGUGGGGAGACAUGGAGUAAGGACCCUGCUCCACGUUGCAUCACCAGUCUAGCUGGGGUGGCACAGGCCAGCAUCCUGCAGCAGGCUGUACAAGCAUGGCAUCGCCAGCUGCUCGGCUUCCGGGGGUCCUCAGGGAGCUUCCACUCAGGCAGAAGGGGAAGCAGGAGCAGGCACAUUACCCGGCGAGAAGAGGAACAGGAAAGAGUGCGGGGCGGUGCCACACGCCUCUAAACAAUCAGAUCUUGGAGAACUCACUAUGGCAGGACAGCACCAAGCCACGAGGGAUCUGUCCCCAGGA
rnacentral:lncRNA from 1 species